rfam:Cavia porcellus supercont2_63 genomic scaffold, whole genome shotgun sequence.
GGGGAUUUAGCUCAGCGGCAUAAGCACCUGCCUUGUAAGCAGGCUGUCGUGAGUUCAAUCCCUG